rnacentral:rRNA from 1 species
UACGAAUGGGGCAAGCGUUGUUCGGAAUCACUGGGCUUAAAGCGUACGCAGGCGGCUCAGCAAGUCAGGAGUGAAAUCCCAGGGCUUAACCCUGGAAUUGCUUUUGAAACUGCUGAGCUAGAAUCCGAGAGAGGUUGGCGGAAUUCCGAGUGUAGAGGUGAAAUUCGCAGAUAUUCGGAGGAACACCAGUGGCGAAGGCGGCCAACUGGAUCGGUAUUGACGCUCAUGUACGAAAGCGUGGGGAUCAAACAGG